rnacentral:rRNA from 1 species
GACGAACGCUGGCGGCGUGCUUAACACAUGCAAGUCGAACGGAAAGGCCCUGCUUUUGUGGGGUGCUCGAGUGGCGAACGGGUGAGUAACACGUGAGUAACCUGCCCUUGACUUUGGGAUAACUUCAGGAAACUGGGGCUAAUACCGGAUAGGAGCUCCUGCUGCAUGGUGGGGGUUGGAAAGUUUCGGCGGUUGGGGAUGGCCUCGCGGCUUAUCAGCUUGUUGGUGGGGUAGUGGCUUACCAAGGCUUUGACGGGUAGCCGGCCUGAGAGGGUGACCGGCCACCUUGGGACUGAGAUACGGCCCAGACUCCUACGGGAGGCAGCAGGGGGGAAUAUUGCACAAUGGGCGGAAGCCUGAUGCAGCAACGCCGCGUGCGGGAUGACGGCCUUCGGGUUGUAAACCGCUUUCGCCUGUGACGAAGCGUGAGUGACGGUAAUGGGUAAAGAAGCACCGGCUAACUACGUG